CAAUUCGAACAAUUUGGGAAAUUUUUAGAGACGACGACGACGAACUCAGAAGCGAGGGAUAAUGAACCCGUUAACCCUAGUAAAACGCAUUCAGCAAAUCAACACGAAAGAAGCGGCACUAGGGAUCUCCGAACAAGCUUCAUGGCACGCCAAGUACAAGGACUCCGCCUACGUCUACGCCGGCGGCAUUCCCUUCGACCUCACCGAAGGCGAUCUCCUCGCCGUUUUCGCCCAAUAUGGAGAGAUCGUCGAUGUUAACCUUGUUAGAGACAAAGGCACUGGUAAAUCCAAAGGCUUUGCGUUUGUUGCGUAUGAGGACCAGAGAAGUACGAAUCUUGCUGUAGAUAACUUGAACGGAGCUCAGAUUUUAGGUAGGAUUAUUAGGGUUGAUCAUGUUAGUAACUAUAAGAAGAAACAGGAAGAAGACGAAGAGGAGGAGCGGAAGAAGAGAGAGGAACGCGGCGUGUGCCGCGCUUUCCAAAGAGGCGAUUGCACUCGUGGCGCCGGUUGCAAAUUUUCGCACGACGAACAAAGAGCUGCGAAUACAGGUUGGGGUCCUCAAAAUGAAGGUCCAAAAUGGGGACAUGACAAGUUUGAAGGUCCAAAAUGGGGUGAGAAACAAUCUGACAGGAACCCAUCAAAACCUGUUCGGCCACCUAUGAUUCCAGGUGGUUUUAGACGGGAUGAUAAAGAUAUGCCCUCCAGAUCAAAGGGCAGUGAAAGGGCCUUAGAGAGCAACCCUAGGGUAAGUGAUAGGAGGGAGGAAAAGAGUUCAGGAAGGCAUGAUGAUGAUGAGUUCGAGCCAAAGUCAAGGGAAGAUCAUGACAGGAGGCAAGAUAAGAGAUUGGGAAGGCAUAAUGAUAAUGAAUUUCAGUCUAAGUCAAGAGAUCAUAAUAGGGAAGAAAGAAGAUCAAGAACACUUGAUGGUGAUGAAUUUCAGCCAAAAGCGAGAGAAGUUAAUGAUUGGAGAGCAGAAAAGAGAUCAAGAAGAGACAAUGGUGUUGAAUUUGAGUCAAAGUCAAGAGAUGUGAGGGAGGAAAAGAGAUUGAGAAGGCACGGUGAUGAUCAUCUUGAACCAAAGUCCAGAGAAGAUGGAAAGGAAGAAAAGAGGUCAAGAAGGCAUGAUGAUGAAUUUGAUGGAAAGGAAGAAAAGAGAUCAAGAAGGCAGGAUGAUGAUGAUGAAUUUGAGCCAAGAUCAAGAGAAGAUGGAAGGGAAGAAAAGAAAUCGAGAAGGCAUGACUCAGAUUACCAUAUGGUAGAAAAGGGAGACAAGGGAGGAGACAUUUGGCCAAAUCAUCGUAGGGAUUCCACAUCUCGUUCUAACAGAGGGGGAGACGGAGAUCGCCGGCAUAGAUCAGAUAAGGAUCUUCAUUAAAUGUUUACAGGGGUAAGCUCUUAUCUUUGGGAGACGUGUAACAGGAUCAUUUCCAUAUGCUACCUGAAGAAUGUUUGGCUGAGGUCUAUUCUGUAUUUUGCUUGGAUUUGUCCUCCCUUCUCCCCACACUGACCAUGGAACGCUGGUGUAGCUUGACAGAUAGUGUGCCUGGUUCUGAGCAUCUUUUGAUCCCUCCAGACAACUUGGAAUGUAUGAUUAAAUGUCGGAUAAAUUUUUCACCAAGGUGGCGCCGUUUUACACCCUAAUCUAUGCCUCAGCAGACUCUACAUGAAUGCAAAUGCUCCCCAAAGAUGUGAAACCUUAGGCAGUUGUUUGGUUUGUCUUUUGACCGUUAAAUUUCAUCUCAAAAUUCAAAG